UUUAAGGUGGCAGAGUCAGGUAUAUGCACAAGGCCUAAGCCCUUUAAACCAGAAGUUCAAAUCUUCUCCUUAACA
rnacentral:tRNA from 1 species